rnacentral:rRNA from 1 species
AGAGAGAAGCUUGCUUCUCUUGAGAGCGGCGGACGGGUGAGUAAUGCCUAGGAAUCUGCCUGGUAGUGGGGGAUAACGUUCGGAAACGAACGCUAAUACCGCAUACGUCCUACGGGAGAAAGCAGGGGACCUUCGGGCCUUGCGCUAUCAGAUGAGCCUAGGUCGGAUUAGCUAGUUGGUGAGGUAAUGGCUCACCAAGGCGACGAUCCGUAACUGGUCUGAGAGGAUGAUCAGUCACACUGGAACUGAGACACGGUCCAGACUCCUACGGGAGGCAGCAGUGGGGAAUAUUGGACAAUGGGCGAAAGCCUGAUCCAGCCAUGCCGCGUGUGUGAAGAAGGUCUUCGGAUUGUAAAGCACUUUAAGUUGGGAGGAAGGGCAGUUACCUAAUACGUGAUUGUUUUGACGUUACCGACAGAAUAAGCACCGGCUAACUCUGUGCCAGCAGCCGCGGUAAUACAGAGGGUGCAAGCGUUAAUCGGAAUUACUGGGCGUAAAGC